GAUGAACGCUGGCGGCGUGCCUAAUACAUGCAAGUCGAGCGAACUGAUUAGAAGCUUGCUUCUAUGACGUUAGCGGCGGACGGGUGAGUAACACGUGGGCAACCUGCCUGUAAGACUGGGAUAACUUCGGGAAACCGAAGCUAAUACCGGAUAGGAUCUUCUCCUUCAUGGGAGAUGAUUGAAAGAUGGUUUCGGCUAUCACUUACAGAUGGGCCCGCGGUGCAUUAGCUAGUUGGUGAGGUAACGGCUCACCAAGGCAACGAUGCAUAGCCGACCUGGGAGGGUGAUCGGCCACACUGGGACUGAGACACGGCCCAGACUCCUACGGGAGGCAGCAGUAGGGAAUCUUCCGCAAUGGACGAAAGUCUGACGGAGCAACGCCGCGUGAGUGAUGAAGGCUUUCGGGUCGUAAAACUCUGUUGUUAGGGAAGAACAAGUACAAGAGUAACUGCUUGUACCUUGACGGUACCUAACCAGAAAGCCACGGCUAACUACGUGCCAGCCGCCGCGGUAAUAC
rnacentral:rRNA from 1 species